ensembl:lncRNA
GCUUGUCAGCGAUAACGGUGCCGCGCGGGGUGGCUGCCUUCGCACGGCCGCGYGCAGGGAGCGCUGCUUUUGUGUUUGGCGAGUUAAUCUAUUAAUGUCGUUCAGGAAAUGAGAUGGGAACAGAAGCGACUCGGUUACCGGCGGGCGGGCGUGCRUGUGCGUGUGUGCAGGUUUCUCCUUUUCUCCCGGCUGCCCCCUCUGCAGCCGAGCAGCAGCUCAGCGGGCUCUGCUGAGGCUGCGUUAAGAUCCCAGCCAGCCUCCCCCGGGAUUAACAGAUGCACAGAAGUAUGCGGGGGUGGGGGGGGGAAGGACGGGGAAAGUCGUGCCGCUUGUAUCGCCCGACGCCUCUGGUGGCUUCACCGCAGCGAGGCCGUGCUGCGGGCGCAGGGCGCCGCAGGAGGGGCCGCGCGGCCGCCCCGGGCCCCGCUCGGGAUGGCCGGUGCUGCCGGCUGCCGGCACGCGCCUUCGGGAGCAGCUGCAGCGGUGCAGCGCGCAGCGGCACUUGCUCCGCAGAGGCCGUUUGCGGGCGGGAAGAGCAGCUCACACUAUUUCUCCGAAAGGGCGGUAUUGCAGCAAGGACGAGACGGUGUCACAAGACGGGAGCAGUCCAUCUGAGCAGCCCUGUCUACAUGGCUCGGAGUUCAGGGUGGCCACUGUGGUCCCAGUUCUCCCAGGCUCGCUUCCCGGGACGUUCUCCCGGCGUGUGCUCACUGCCGGCUGAUGGAUGCCCUGGCACAAGCAGUGCCCGGGCGCCCGACGCACGCGGCCACCGUCCCAGCACGGCCCGGCCGCCGCAGUGUCUGCAGCCAGCGGCACGCAGAGCUGUGCCCGUCAGUCCCUCCGUCCACCGUUGACUCCCUGACCUCGGCGAGCAGGUACCGUCUGGAGUUGGGCUGCCUGGUGCAGCCCUUGGCCUGAGGCCACAGCGGGGCUCUCCGGCCUCUGGAUCCAUCGCAAACGCCCUGCUUGUCCCAUCCACACCUCCCACAGCACAAGCCGAGGGGGGGAGCUGCGCCGUGGAGGGCCACGCUGACCCUGCACAACAAGUCCCUUGGCCACACCGAGCCGCAUGGCCAGGCACGUCUGAGCCCUCCACGCUGGCACCCAGCGCACAGGACUGCGCCCGACGGCACUUCUAGAAGCAGUGACUGAUGCCGUGCACGUCCAGAGCCGUUUGGCUGGGCAGCGUCUGCACCCUUGCAGCACCCAGUCUCCCACGUCUGGGAGGACACCCAGCGCUGCCACGCAGCCAGGCCUGCAGCAACCGCCAUACCGUCAUGUCUCCCUCCCAUCCCCACCAAAAGCAAAGCCCACGGGGGAAAAUGGUGGCAGGGCUUGCUCUCAUGGCUUCCUUUCCAGGCCCUCCACCAGCCCAUCCUUCCUCCCCUGCUUUGAGAAAGUCAGCUUCUCAAAAAAAACCAAAAAAACAAAAAAACAAAGAAAAGCAAGGAAAAGUGAAAGGGAGUGAAAUUCCAGAACAGCGAGAGAGGGAGAAGGGAAAGAGGGAGGCAGAGGAAAAAGAGAUAAAAGAAGCCCUGCCAGCAAGGAUGGCAGGAGGCGGCCG